GAUGAACGCUAGCGAUAGGCUUAACACAUGCAAGUCGAGGGGCAGCAUGGUCUUAGCUUGCUAAGACUGAUGGCGACCGGCGCACGGGUGCGUAACGCGUAUGCAACUUGCCUCACAGAGGGGGAUAACCCGUCGAAAGACGGACUAAUACCGCGUACACUCCAUCUUGGGCAUCCAAGGUAGAGGAAAUGAAAUUCGCUGUGAGAUAGGCAUGCGUCCCAUUAGCUAGUUGGUGAGGUAACGGCUCACCAAGGCGACGAUGGGUAGGGGAACUGAGAGGUUGAACCCCCACACUGGUACUGAGACACGGACCAGACUCCUACGGGAGGCAGCAGUGAGGAACAUUGGUCAAUGGGCGAGAGCCUGAACCAGCCAAGUCGCGUGAAGGAUGACUGUCUUAUGGAUUGUAAACUUCUUUUAUACGGGAAUAACAAGAGUCACGUGUGACUCCCUGCAUGUACCGUAUGAAUAAGCAUCGGCUAACUCCGUG
rnacentral:rRNA from 1 species